rnacentral:rRNA from 1 species
UGGGGAAUAUUGGACAAUGGGGGCAACCCUGAUCCAGCAAUGCCGCGUGUGUGAAGAAGGUUUUCGGAUUGUAAAGCACUUUCGACGGGGACGAUGAUGACGGUACCCGUAGAAGAAGCCCCGGCUAACUUCGUGCCAGCAGCCGCGGUAAUACGAAGGGGGCUAGCGUUGCUCGGAAUGACUGGGCGUAAAGGGCGUGUAGGCGGUUUGUACAGUCAGAUGUGAAAUCCCCGGGCUUAACCUGGGAGCUGCAUUUGAUACGCGCAGACUAGAGUGUGAGAGAGGGUUGUGGAAUUCCCAGUGUAGAGGUGAAAUUCGUAGAUAUUGGGAAGAACACCGGUGGCGAAGGCGGCAACCUGGCUCAUAACUGACGCUGAGGCGCGAAAGCGUGGGGAGCAAACAGGAUUAGAUACCCUGGUAGUCCACGCUGUAAACGAUGUGUGCUAGAUGUUGGGUAACUUAGUUAUUCAGUGUCGCAGUUAACGCGUUAAGCACACCGCCUGGGGAGUACGGCCGCAAGGUUGAAAC